rnacentral:tRNA from 1 species
GAGGAUAUAGCUCAAAUGAUAGAGCACAUGCUUAGCACGCACAGGGUCCUGGGUUCAAUCCCCAGUACCAUUA